rnacentral:rRNA from 1 species
GUCUACAGCCAUGCCACCCUGAACGUGCCCAAUCUUGUCUGAUCUCGGAAGUUAAGUAGGUUAGUACUUGGAUGGGAGACCACCUAGGAAGACCAAGAGCUGUAGGUG